GGAGAAGUAGCUUAGUGGCAGAGUGCUCACCCAGCAUGUGAAAGGACCUGGGUUUAAGCCCCAGUACUUUCA
rnacentral:tRNA from 1 species